CCUACGGGAGGCAGCAGUAGGGAAUCUUCCGCAAUGGACGAAAGUCUGACGGAGCAACGCCGCGUGAGUGAAGAAGGUUUUCGGAUCGUAAAACUCUGUUGUCAGGGAAGAACAAGUAUGGGAGUAACUGUCCGUACCUUGACGGUACCUGGCCAGAAAGCCACGGCUAACUACGUGCCAGCAGCCGCGGUAAUACGUAGGUGGCAAGCGUUGUCCGGAACUAUUGGGCGUAAAGCGCGCGCAGGCGGCCUUUUAAGUCUGAUGUGAAAGCCCCCGGCUCAACCGGGGAGGGUCAUUGGAAACUGGAAGGCUUGAGUGCAGAAGAGAAGAGCGGAAUUCCACGUGUAGCGGUGAAAUGCGUAGAGAUGUGGAGGAACACCAGUGGCGAAGGCGGCUCUUUGGUCUGUAACUGACGCUGAGGCGCGAAAGCGUGGGGAGCAAACAGGAUUAGAUACCCUGGUAGUCCACGCCGUAAACGAUGAGUGCUAAGUGUUGGGGGUUUCCGCCCUCAGUGCUGCAGCUAACGCAUUAAGCACUCCGCCUGGGGAGUACGGCCGCAAGGCUGAAACUCAAAGGAUGACGG
rnacentral:rRNA from 1 species